CCAACAUAAUCCAAUUGGAGGCAUUACUUUUGGAGUAGCCUUCAUAUUUUUGUAUUUUGUUUAAUUUUUAUGUAUGAUAUGUUGCAUAAUGGGAAUAAUAUUCCAUGUAUACAUUCAGCCACACAAAGCAUAGCCACAUUUGGUUAGUUGGAGUUGAAUGGCCACAAAUUAUUUGGGGUGGAUAGGAUGAGGGGAAAGAUGGGAGGGGGAAAAAACAUUUGUUCUUCACCUUCUAAAGAAAAACUGCUUUUCCUUGUAAGCUGUCUGCGCUGUUCAGGCCUUACCACUCUACCAAAGCAGCAGUGAUCUUCUGAGUUGAUAUCUACAGUGGCUUCUCUUGAUUUUCGCCAGGACUUGGCUGUGGGCCUGGCACUAAUUAUGUACUUGGAGGGCGACCCUCUGGGGGUACUGCCCCAUGAACUGCUGUAAUUCAGGUCACCUUCUCCAGGACUCAUCUCUGUGCUUUGUCUAUUUUCUGAUCUUCUUUCUUCAGGAAGAACCUACAUAUGUUGGGAACCUUGUCCACUAGCAACCUGAAUCCAGUCAGAGAUUCAUCUUUGAUCCGGACUUCCACGCAUCCAAGAUUUCCUGCUGGGAUUCUUUUGUGGUCUUAAACUGCCAGUAAAAAUCUUGUUUCUGCUUCUGUUGUUCUUCUGCUUCUUGUGUUGUCUUACUGCUGGGAUACUUUCCUUAUGAAUGAAGUUUCAAUUUGUAGUAUUUCCCAUUUACAGUAAAGAUUGAAUUGCCAUUCUUUGUUUUGAAAUACGCCAUUUUAUUGCACCUGCCCAGAUAUCCUCCUACUAACCUGAAGUUUUUGUAAACUGCUUUUCACCAAGAAUUCCAUCCAGCAGUUUCAUCCACUGUUGUUUCUGAAACUGUUCCACGCAUCACGUCUUACGUGUGCUAUCACAGCCAGAAUGUACCACAAUCUGCUUUUGUUCCAGAAAUUUUAAGAGAUCUGACUCUAUCAAAGGGCUUCCUUCAGUGAAUGUACUAUAUAUUGUUUCAUAUGCACACUAAAAAAACCCAUCUCCUUGCAGUGUGUGUGGU